rnacentral:rRNA from 1 species
UACGAAGGGGGCUAGCGUUGCUCGGAAUUACUGGGCGUAAAGGGCGCGUAGGCGGGUCGUUAAGUUGGGGGUGAAAGCCCAGGGCUCAACCCUGGAAUUGCCUUCAAUACUGGCGACCUUGAGUAUGGCAGAGGUGUGUGGAACUCCGAGUGUAGAGGUGAAAUUCGUAGAUAUUCGGAAGAACACCAGUGGCGAAGGCGACACACUGGGCCAUUACUGACGCUGAGGCGCGAAAGCGUGGGGAGCGAACAGG